rnacentral:rRNA from 1 species
GAUGAACGCUGGCGGCGUGCCUAAUACAUGCAAGUCGAGCGAAUGGAUUAAGAGCUUGCUCUUAUGAAGUUAGCGGCGGACGGGUGAGUAACACGUGGGUAACCUGCCCAUAAGACUGGGAUAACUCCGGGAAACCGGGGCUAAUACCGGAUAGCAUUUUGAACCGCAUGGUUCGAAAUUGAAAGGCGGCUUCGGCUGUCACUUAUGGAUGGACCCGCGUCGCAUUAGCUAGUUGGUGGGGUAACGGCUCACCAAGGCAACGAUGCGUAGCCGACCUGAGAGGGUGAUCGGCCACACUGGGACUGAGACACGGCCCAGACUCCUACGGGAGGCAGCAGUAGGGAAUCUUCCGCAAUGGACGAAAGUCUGACGGAGCAACGCCGCGUGAGUGAUGAAGGCUUUCGGGUCGUAAAACUCUGUUGUUAGGGAAGAACAAGUGCUAGUUGAAUAAGCUGGCACCUUGACGGUACCUAACCAGAAAGCCACGGCUAACUACGUGCCAGCCGCCGCUGUAA